rnacentral:rRNA from 1 species
AACGAACGCUGGCGGCAUGCCUAACACAUGCAAGUCGAACGAUGCCUUCGGACAUAGUGGCGCACGGGUGCGUAACGCGUGGGAAUCUGCCCUUGGCUUCGGAAUAACAGUUAGAAAUGACUGCUAAUACCGGAUGAUGUCCCCCUGAGAGAUCUUGGGGACCAAAGAUUUAUCGGCCAGGGAUGAGCCCGCGUAGGAUUAGGUAGUUGGUGGGGUAAAGGCCUACCAAGCCGACGAUCCUUAGCUGGUCUGAGAGGAUGAUCAGCCACACUGGGACUGAGACACGGCCCAGACUCCUACGGGAGGCAGCAGUGGGGAAUAUUGGACAAUGGGGGGAACCCUGAUCCAGCAAUGCCGCGUGAGUGAUGAAGGCCUUAGGGUUGUAAAGCUCUUUUACCAGGGAUGAUAAUGACAGUACCUGGAGAAUAAGCUCCGGCUAACUCCGU